GUCUCAGGCCGUAUCAGCCUGAAGGCGCCCGAUCUCGCCUGAUCUCGGAAGCUAAGCAGGGUCGGGCCUGGUUAGGAUCUUGGAUGGGUGACCACCUGGGAAUCCCGGGUGCUCGAGGCU
ensembl:rRNA 5S_rRNA 5S ribosomal RNA